UUCAGACUGUGUUUGCACUCUUCGGCGCGACUGUUUACUUCAUUAUCCUACUCUAUAAGGCAUUCUACUCGUUAAUUUCACAAAAGGAGAGAGAUAGGAUCGGGAGUGGCAACUCGAUUUUACUCCUGUGCAAUUACAUCACGGUGCCUAUGUUAACGAUGCUCGCCGGGCAGAAGGCCCGCAACGAGGCGGACCGGGUGAUCAGAACGUUGGCGCGUCUGCACAACAUACUAUUGGCAGUUCGAGGCGAUGGCGUGGCAGAGCUGAACAAAACAGUGGCAAACCUUCACCGAGUAAUGAAAGUGAAUCCC